UUUGGUGGCGAUAGCGAAGAGGUCACACCCGUUCCCAUACCGAACACGGAAGUUAAGCUCUUCAGCGCCGAUGGUAGUCGGGGGGUUCCCCCUGUGAGAGUAGGACGCCGCCAAGC
rnacentral:rRNA from 16 species